UGCCCCCCUGUCCCCCUGUCCCUAUCCCUCUGUCUCCGUGUCCCCAUCCUGUCUCUGUGUACCUAAGCUCCCGUGUCCUCGUGUCCCCGUGUCCCUGUUCCUGUGUCCCCGUGCCCGCACCCAGGGCUGCCUGUCCUGUGUUGAGUAGAGAGGUGCCCAUGCAGGGUCUUCGUGGUCUCUGGAGGGUAGAGGCCAGGACAAGACACGAGGACUCACAGCUCCUUCCCCCCGGAUGGCAGUUUCUCCUCAGGCUGGUCCUGCUCUCACUCCCUCCUCCUAGCCCAGGCGCCAGACACUAAUACCCCAACCGCAGGCUCACCAUGUUCUCCCCUCCGAACCGGAGGCAGUGCCUCCAUGCCUGGGGGGCACGAGGAAGACCCAGACAGGUGCAUUCUGAUUCCCUCUGUCCUGCCCCGCCCGGUGGCCCUGACCAUGCGGGCUCGCCACGUCCGGUCCCGGGGCGAGGGGAGGAGCCCCCGCGACUUCAGGCACGCAGAGAAAGGGAGCCCGCGUGCGUGCGUGAGCACGGGCCGUCGGCGGUGGACGAUCCCGGUACUAAGGGCCGCGCUGAGUGAUUCGGCGGGAGUCUCGGGCCUCCUCAGACAACUUAAAACACGCCUCUGAAGAAGUCCCGGCUCAGAAAUAACCAACGACGCGUGGUCCCCGUGCCACCCGAUCAGCGUGGCGUGAGGGGGACGUGAGGGAGAGAGGCGGGGCGCGGACGGCCCGUGGCAUCACGUGCCGCCUCCCGCCACAGGGCCCCUUCCGGCUGCGACAGGGGAACCGGCUGGAACCGGCCCUGGACGCGGACGUCAGGCGGGAGAGCCACCACCCACGCCCAGCGCGACGGAUCCUGCCCCCACGAGAAGGGGGCGCGCACCAGAUGGGAACGGCAGCGCCUCGUUCCCCACCCCCCCCCGCCCCCGCCAACAGCUCGCUUGCCCCAGAGUCACCCCAGGAGAACUUGGCCGCAUGCGAGGGAAGGAGCGGAUACCUUUUUUCAGGCCCAAAAUCCACAUGGUGUCCAGGGCGUCAAUCAGCGUCAGGCCCAGGCCAAACCACUCGCUGAAGGACCUGGACACAGGUUUCAGCUCGUCGUGGCCCCAGGCAAACUUGCGGUAUCCGGCCCACGCGUGGCGGAAGGCGUCGAUCACGGCCCUCUGGCGCUCGUUCGGGGAGGCUGGAGGGAAGAGAGCUGGUCGCCAGGACCGGGGCCGUCAGGGUUCAAACAGGGCCCCUCUGGAGCCCCACACGGAACGGGGUCGGGGAGCAGCAGGGGACAACGCCCAAGGUCGGGUCCUCACGGCUGGACGCAGCUGCCAGGGCGGCGAGGCCUCUGGGGCCAGCACGGGACAGCGCGGUCUCCCGUGUGCCUCCGCGGGGGCCCAGGGGCCACACGCCGAGCGCCCGAUGGCUGCGCUGUGCCCUUCGGCCGGUAGCAUCGGGCGUGCUGGCUGGCGGCUGCCGACCUGGAGGGGAGCGCCUCAUCUCCCGGGUGCCCCGUCGCACCUCCUCGGCCCCGGGCGUUUACGAGGAGGACCUAACGCGGAGCAGGUGCUCCCACGGCUGCGCUGGAGCCUUUCCGGGGUGCCCUCACGACUCGUGUGGGGGACGAGGUUUCUGCCCUCCACACCGGGGAGGACGGGGCACGAGUGACGGAGCCACCGCGUGGACACAACCGUGCGAGUCGAUGGCGGCACCGCACAUGGGCGCUCGGUGCGGUCUGAGGCCCAUCCGUGUUGACACCCACGGCGCUGCCGUCUGUCCUCUAAGCCACACGAUCGCUCGGUGUCCCCCACACGUCCCCCUUCCUUCAGAGGCAACAGCAAUUGGGACCAGAGGAUCACAGCCUGGGCCCCGACUCGCUGACCUGGCACGAGCCCCCGCUCCCCCAGGCCCAUUGCCCUGGCCGUAACCGGCCCCGCCUCAGCUCUGCACGGGGCUCCCGACACGCCUGCGCCCAAAAGGCCCUCCACCCCGGUGCCACCGCGUCGGACCGCGCACACCUGCUGGGACCCGUUGGGCCUGGGUGGAGACGCAGAGGGGUGGCUGCGUCUCCACGUUCCCCAGGCGCCUCUCCCCAGCCCCUCGUGGCACAGACGCAGGCUGGGAAACGAGUCUCUCACCCACAUGGGCGGCCAGGGGGCUGCAGUGAUGGGCCGCCAAGGAGCCCCGUGUCCUCUCCAGGCUCUCAAGGGAUCUGCGGCCCGCCCGGGUGUCACGGGGGACCAGCACUCGGAGGGACGGCAGGUGCUCCCCCCCUGGGCAUCCACGCGCCCUCCUCGUCAGAAUGUCCAGAAAACGCCAGACACGCGGGCCUCAGCGUUUCUGCACGUCCAGCCCCGUCUCUGACGCUCCUCGUACCUGACCACCGUUCUCCGUGUGUUUUCUUCCCG